AUACGGAGGGUGCAAGCGUUACUCGGAAUUACUGGGCGUAAAGGACGCGUAGGCGGUUUAGAAAGUCAGAUGUGAAAGCCUAUGGCUUAACCAUAGAACUGCAUUUGAAACUUCCAAACUAGAGUGGGGGAGAGGUCAGUGGAAUUAGUGGUGUAGGGGUAAAAUCCGUAGAGAUCACUAGGAAUACUCAUUGCGAAGGCGACUGACUGGAACUUAACUGACGCUGAGGCGUGAAAGCGUGGGGAGCAACAGGAUUAGAAACCCCGGUAGUCC
rnacentral:rRNA from 1 species